GAUAUUCUUAGGUUCUUGACCUGGCACAAAUGCUCUGAUUUUCUGGUCAUAUUGAGGUGCGGUUCUGAUAGACUAUGUAGAAGCUAUUUCAUGAUCCUUAGUGCUUCUUUUUUGGGCAUCGUCCUGCUCACGAAGAUAACGUGCAGACUAUUGAAUUGAAAUGCGACAUGCUAAUUAGGUAGUGGGUUCUGUUUCAUCUAAUGAAGUGUAGCAUGUGAAUUUCUGCAAAUCAGUUUUGUGAUCCCUUUGGGAUUUUACGAACUGAAAGACUAAAACCAACUACGACCAAUUUAGCAUGGGCUAUAUAUUGGGUUAAGUCAGCCAAUUCAUAAGUUUCAGAAUUUGUUGGUAUGAUCAUACUAUACAAGAAAACUAGGAAUGUCGGUUAACUUUAUAUCGGGUGUUUUCUGACACUGAAUAGCACCGUUGUCAGUAAGUUAUUGUUUCCGCCCGAGUGCAGCAGGGCAUGAACAGUCUAUCCAAAAUUGUUAUUGAAGUUUGCUCAUGACAUGAUUGACCAUAGAAUUUGGUAAGCUGUUGCAUUUUACGGAUUUUACUAUGAAGAACUCAGCGGCUGUUUGGAUUGAUUCCUACAGCUGCCCAUCCAAAAUAUUGAUCGUUGACCAAGCUGGUGAAGUCGUUUGGAUGAGCACUGAUUUUUUGACUCACCCAGCCCACCAGAUUUUAAUUUCUUGAUUUAUGUUUUUUCUAAACAAGAUGUGUGCAGAUCGGAUGAAGAAUACAAGAGGAAGGACCUUGAGGAAGACUGAAGAACAAUGUAUGGAUCUUCAAUUAUAAUGAUGAUCAUAGCAGGGAGAUAUACCAUACUAAGAGCAUGCAAAGAUAAGCACUGAUGUAGAAAUAUCAAGUUCGGAAGAGCACAAAACAAUAAAACAGUUGAUUAAGGCUUCACUUGGUAAUGACAACUCCAUGUGGUCAAAGGUUUGCAACCUGAUUUCCUUACAAAAUGUAGUUACUAGGGGAACCCAAAGUACUUAAUUUUAUAAUAGUUCAGUUUGUUUUUUCUGAAGCAUAAUCUUCUAAUUUCUGUGCUAAACAAUAAUGAGUAUUUGAAAAAUAGGGUUCAAACUAUUUGCAUUCUAAUUCCAGCCUUUCAGUACAUGAGGUACUGGAUGCUAGGCAGAUUGCUUUGUUUUUAAUUGCUGAGAUGCUCAAUAAUCAGGUCCACUAUUCAUGCCUAUGCACAGGAAGAUUAGUUUAAUUAAUCAUUCUUUUUUAUAGCAAUGAUUAGUUUGCUCUCAAAAAGAUACUUUAGAAGAAUCUAUUCAGUUGUUUCUUGAAAAAGUUCUGCAUGUGGCAAAAGAUGCGGUGGCAAAGGUAUACCCUUUAUAUUAUCAUUAGAUCUGUUCUUUGUUCGGCUUUACUGUUUUCUUACCUUAAUAUUUUUUUUGGGUAUGCAGAUUUCAAAUGAAGCGAACCGAUGCAUAAAUAUUUUGUUGGCAAAAUAAGAUCCUUUCAGAUAUCUUGUUGUAUGUACAAAUCAUUUCUCUUUAUGUAUCACUGUUACUUUUGUUUCUGCUUCGUGCAUCCCUACAUAGUUGGUAUCAUGGGUUAUCAACCCCUCAAACUUGUUCUGCUAUCGGAUACCAACCAGAUCAAUUUAGUGUGAGAUUAGUUUUCAGUUGAACCAAUUUUAUAGUUGAAUAUGUUGCUUUGUUGGAACGUAUGAAGGUCUGAGAAGAAGUACAUUGCAACUUAAUGCAAAACCAUAUAACCAUGGUUCUUGGAAUCGGCUUGAAUGUAGCAGUUUUGAUAGAUAUGAAUAUAUCUAUAUAUUUCUCUGUUUCUAUCUUUAACAACUUGCUUUUAUGUAAUUUCUGUUGUGUUGUAACCAGAUUUACCCUUACCUUGGCAGUGUGUCUUGUGUGAAAUACACAUAUGAUGUUCUUAUAAAUAGUAAUUCCAUUAAUUGUCCUUUGUUUGUAACUUAGUUGAGUGGUCUGGUUGUACAUGAUUAAAUUCUGGAUAGAAACUACUUUGUGGAAAUGUGAAAGCUUGAGGCUGGAGCUGGAGCUGGAGGCUGCGCUGCUCUAUGUGCAGGUGGGUAGUCGGAGGAGGUCACCGAGGGAAAGCUGGCAAGUUGCAGCGACAGGAAAGCUGGCAAGCUGCGGCGACCGCGGACGUUUGGGGUGGCGGCCAGGUCGUUGGCCCUCGGCGCGAACUUGAUGUUCUAUGGUCUGAAUUCAGUUUGAUUUUUUUUGUUUUACUUGCUAUCUGCUGCCUCUUAGACCAGUUUGAAGGAUGUCCGCUUGCUUUCCAGUAUAUCCCAAGCCUUUGCUGUGGAUACUAAAACCACCACUCGCAAGGACAAGUGAAGACUCUG